CAUCUUGUGAAACAGUUCAGAGGAAUAGGACUGAGUAUGAAUACAGGGGAAAGAAAGUAUUGAACAAAAAAUAUCUAUAACAAUAAGUUAUUUCUUAUCUUUUAAAAAUAGAUAUGUAAGAAGCUCUUCUUGUUCGUAUACAGUAUCAGAAAUGGUACUUACAAGAACUUGAGGAGGCAUUUCCUUCAAAAUGGAAUAAAACCUAGGGUUCAUGGGAACACUGGUCGCAUUCCUUGUCAUGCUGUUUCUGUGGAAGGCAUUAAAGAUGUGGUAGCAUUUUUGGAGAACUAUGCUGAAGACUUCACCAAAUUACUACCUGGGAGGAUACCUGGAGUGAGGGAUUAUGGGAAGGCCAAGCUAUUGCCGUCCAGUGUGUCCCGACACAAGGUUUACCGGCAGUAUGCUGAUGCUGGUAGGGAACAUACUCUCUGUGAAAAAUUAAUUUGUUUAAAGGUCCUACUUGUGCAAAUAGAGUAUCGAAGAGUAAAAGUAAAAGCGCAUUCUCUAUCUCAGGAUUUAAAUAAAGAAGUUGCCUUUUCUGUUAAUGAUAUAAUGGAUGAACACGUUUUAACAUAAUCAAUUUAAUUUUUUGAAUGCACUUGUACAACUAGAGUUACAACUGGUACAAGUCAAAUUAUCAUCUGUUUCUCUCUCUUUUAGUACAGUGAACAUCUCAUAAUCAAGAAACAGUUUGUUCCAUGGACAUUGCCGUAUUCUUUAAAAGAUUGUGUUAAUGGUUGCUGAAUUCAUUAAGGCAUCAGAUUCAAUGAAGGACCAUUAAUAAUAUAGCAUUGAUAUUGCCUGAGCACAGAUGGCAAUAAAGUUACCAUUGCAAUUACUGGCAAUCAUUACUUUUGUUAUUAAUAACCAGACAUUGCAUGAUGUAUCUACCUUUCAUCUACCAUGUAUUUAAAAUUUUUCAUAUUGUAUGU